rnacentral:rRNA from 1 species
GACGAACGCUGGCGGCGUGCUUAACACAUGCAAGUCGAACGGAAAGGCCCUGCUUGCAGGGUACUCGAGUUGCGAACGGGUGAGUAACACGUGGGUGAUCUGCCCUGCACUUCGGGAUAAGCCUGGGAAACUGGGUCUAAUACCGGAUAGGAGCCAUUUUUAGUGUGAUGGUUGGAAAGUUUUUUCGGUGUAGGAUGAGCUCGCGGCCUAUCAGCUUGUUGGUGUGGUAAUGGCCUACCAAGGCGGCGACGGGUAGCCGGCCUGAGAGGGUGGACGGCCACCUUGGGACUGAGAUACGGCCCAGACUCCUACGGGAGGCAGCAGUGGGGAAUAUUGCACAAUGGGCGCAAGCCUGAUGCAGCGACGCCGCGUGGGGGAUGACGGCCUUCGGGUUGUAAACUCCUUUCGCUAGGGACGAAGCUUUUGUGACGGUACCUAGAUAAGAAGCACCGGCUAACUACGUG